AGCGAACGCUGGCGGCAGGCUUAACACAUGCAAGUCGAGCGGGCGUAGCAAUACGUCAGCGGCAGACGGGUGAGUAACGCGUGGGAACAUACCUUUUGGUUCGGAACAACACAGGGAAACUUGUGCUAAUACCGGAUAAGCCCUUACGGGGAAAGAUUUAUCGCCGAAAGAUUGGCCCGCGUCUGAUUAGCUAGUUGGUAGGGUAAUGGCCUACCAAGGCGACGAUCAGUAGCUGGUCUGAGAGGAUGAUCAGCCACAUUGGGACUGAGACACGGCCCAAACUCCUACGGGAGGCAGCAGUGGGGAAUAUUGGACAAUGGGGGCAACCCUGAUCCAGCCAUGCCGCGUGAGUGAUGAAGGCCCUAGGGUUGUAAAGCUCUUUUGUGCGGGAAGAUAAUGACGGUACCGC
rnacentral:rRNA from 1 species